rnacentral:rRNA from 1 species
CCUACGGGAGACAGCAGUGAGGAAUAUUGGUCAAUGGUCGGGAGACUGAACCAGCCAAGCCGCGUGAGGGAGGAAGGUACAGAGUACCGUAAACCUCUUCUGUCAGGGAACAAAGACUGGGACGUGUUCCCCGAUGAGUGUACCUUACGAACAAGCAUCGGCUAACCCCGGGCCAGCAGCCGCGGUAAUACGGAGGAGGCGAGCGUUAUCCGGAUUUAUUGGGUGUAAAGGGAGCGCAGGCGGUCUGGUAAGUCAGCGGUCAAAGCCCGGGGCUCAACCCCGGCCCCGCCGUUGAAACUGGCAGGCUCGAGUGUGAGAGAGGUAAGCGGAAUGCGCGGUGUAGCGGUGAAAUGCAUAGAUAUCGCGCAGAACACCAGUUGCGAAGGCGGCAUGCCGGCACAUAACUGACGCUGAGGAGCGAAAGCGUGGGUAGCAAACAGGAUUAGAUACCCGAGUAGUC